rnacentral:rRNA from 1 species
UAAUACAGAGGGUGCGAGCGUUAAUCGGAUUUACUGGGCGUAAAGCGUGCGUAGGCGGCUUUUUAAGUCGGAUGUGAAAUCCCUGAGCUUAACUUAGGAAUUGCAUUCGAUACUGGAAAGCUAGAGUAUGGGAGAGGAUGGUAGAAUUCCAGGUGUAGCGGUGAAAUGCGUAGAGAUCUGGAGGAAUACCGAUGGCGAAGGCAGCCAUCUGGCCUAAUACUGACGCUGAGGUACGAAAGCAUGGGGAGCAAACAGG